rnacentral:rRNA from 1 species
UACGUAGGGGGCAAGCGUUGUCCGGAAUUAUUGGGCGUAAAGAGCGUGUAGGCGGUCCGGUAAGUCAGCUGUGAAAGUCAAGGGCUCAACCCUUGAAAGCCGGUUGAUACUGUCGGGCUAGAGUCCGGAAGAGGCGAGUGGAAUUCCUGGUGUAGCGGUGAAAUGCGCAGAUAUCAGGAAGAACACCCGUGGCGAAGGCGGCUCUCUGGGACGGUACUGACGCUGAGACGCGAAAGCGUGGGGAGCGAACAGG